CUGGAAUUGCUAGUAAUGGCAGGUCAGCAUACUGCCGUGAAUACGUUCCCGGGCCUUGUACACACCGCCCGUCACACCAUGAGAGUUGGAAAUACCCGAAGCCUGUGAGCUAACAGUAAUGAGGCAGCAGUCGAAGGUAGAGCCAAUGAUUGGGGUGAAGUCGUAACAAGGUACC
rnacentral:rRNA from 1 species